UUGGUCAAUUGCUGCAAAAAUGUAGAGGAAAGUCCGCGCUAGCACCAUCUGCGAUGAUGGUAGUGUUCAUGUUAGAUCCAAUAAAUCUAAGCCUAGACGACAAGUGCCACAGAGACGAGCUUAUUAAGUUAAGGUGAAACGCGGUAAACUCCAUGAGCUAGAAACCCAAAUUUUGGUAGGGGAAUUCACGUUAGAGAAAUGAAUCGAGCGCGAGAGGGAAACCUAGAUAAAUAAUUGACACUUUUUAGAAAGAACAGAACGCGGCUUAUAG
rnacentral:RNase_P_RNA from 1 species